rnacentral:tRNA from 2 species
GCCUGGCUAGCUCAGUCGGUAGAGCAUGAGACUCUUAAUGUCAGGGUCGUGGGUUCAAGCCCCACGUUGGGCA